rnacentral:rRNA from 1 species
AGCCAGACUCCUACGGGAGGCAGCAGUGAGGAAUAUUGGUCAAUGGCCGAGAGGCUGAACCAGCCAAGUCGCGUGAGGGAAGACGGCCCUACGGGUUGUAAACCUCUUUUGUCGGGGAGCAAAGCGAGUCACGUGUGACUCAUUGAGAGUACCCGAAGAAAAAGCAUCGGCUAACUCCGUGCCAGCAGCCGCGGUAAUACGGAGGAUGCGAGCGUUAUCCGGAUUUAUUGGGUUUAAAGGGUGCGUAGGCGGGCUUUUAAGUCAGCGGUAAAAAUUCGGGGCUCAACCCCGUCCGCCGUUGAAACUGACGGUCUUGAGUGGGCGAGAAGUAUGCGGAAUGCGUGGUGUAGCGGUGAAAUGCAUAGAUAUCACGCAGAACUCCGAUUGCGAAGGCAGCAUACCGGCGCCCAACUGACGCUGAAGCACGAAAGCGUGGGUAUCGAACAGGAUUAGAUCCCCCCGUACA